rnacentral:rRNA from 1 species
UAGGGAAUAUUGGACAAUGGGGGCAACCCUGAUCCAGCCAUGCCGCGUGAGUGAAGAAGGCCCUCGGGUUGUAAAGCUCUUUUGUCCGGAAAGAAAAGCUUCGGGUUAAUACCCCGGGGUUCUGACGGUACCGGAAGAAUAAGCACCGGCUAACUUCGUGCCAGCAGCCGCGGUAAUACGAAGGGUGCAAGCGUUACUCGGAAUUACUGGGCGUAAAGCGUGCGUAGGUGGUUGUUUAAGUCUGAUGUGAAAGCCCUGGGCUCAACCUGGGAAUGGCAUUGGAAACUGGGCAGCUAGAGUGCGGUAGAGGUUAGUGGAAUUCCCGAUGUAGCAGUGAAAUGCGUAGAGAUCGGGAGGAACAUCUGUGGCGAAGGCGACUGCCUGGACCAGCACUGACACUGAGGCACGAAAGCGUGGGGAGCAAACA